ensembl:lncRNA
GGCAGGGUAGCCUAGUGGUUACAGCGUUGGACUAGUAACCGGAAGGUUGCAAGUUCAAAUCCCCAAGGUACAAAUCUGUCGUUCUGCCCCUGACUAGGCAGUUAACCCACUGUUCCUAUAAGAAUUUGCUCUUAACUGACUUGCGUAUAGUUAAAUUGGCUACCACAGCAUUCUGCAGCGAUAUGCCAUCCCAUCUGGCUUAUCAGUGGGACUAUCAUUUGUUCUUCAACAGGACAAUGACCCAACACACGGGCUAUUUGACCAAGAAUGAGAGUGAUGGAGUGCUGCAUCAGAUGACCUGGCCUCCACAAUCACCUGACCUCAACCCACAAUCCACAAUCACCUGACCUCAACCCAAAUUGAGAUGGUUUGAGGUGAGUUUGGACCGCUGAGUGAAGGAAAAGGAGCCCUAUGUGGAAACACCUUCAAGACUUGAAAAUGCAUUCCAGGUGAAGCUGGUUGAGAGAAUGUGCAAAAUUAUGUGGCUACUUUGAAGAAUCUCAAAUAUGAAACAUGAAGAAAAACCCUUGAAUGAGGUGGUGCGUCCAAGCCUUUUGUGCUGUAUGUCUACAUUGAAAUGGAGAGCAAACGCCCCAAUAACAUUGACAAUGGUGAUGGAUUCCUUCCAGCUUUACACCAAUGUUCAAGAGAGUGAGAGAAGAGAGAGAGAAGGCAGAGAGAGAGAGAGAAGGCAGAGCGAGAGAGGAGAGAGAAGGCAGAGAGAGAGAGAGGAGAGAGAAGGCAGAGAGAGAGAGGAGCGAGAAGGCAGAGAGAGAGAGGAGCGAGAAGAGAGAGAGAGAGAAGGCAGAGAGAGAGAGAGAAGGCAGAGAGAGAGAGAGAGAGAGAGAGAAAGACAGCAGAGGGCAGAGAGAGAGAGGAGCGAGAAGGCAGAGAGAGAUACAGACCACAAAUUCAAAUUGGCUAUACUCAAACUCUUCAACAGUAUCCUCACUGCAGGUAUUUUCCCCGAUAUUUGGAACCAGGGAUUGAUCACACCAAUCUAUAAAAAUUGAGACAAAUUUGGAGGAAUUUGCGUUAACAGCAACUUGGGGAAAAUUCUCUGCAGUAUUAUGAAUAGCAGACUACAUCAUUCCCUUGACGAACACAACUUCCUGAGCAGAAGCCACAUUGGAUUUCUACAAAAUUAUCAUACAACAGACCACAUUUAUACCCUCCACACUCUAAUUGAUAAACAAGUAAACCAAAA